rnacentral:lncRNA from 1 species
UCUGUCUCAGUCAAGUUCUUGUUGGAUGGAUGUGGACCUUUGUGGUUAUCCGCUGUUUAUGGCCCAAACAGUCCCUUAACUAGGAAGGAUUUUUGGGUGGAGCUAUCAGACCUUUUUAGCCUUACUUCUCUUUCAUGGUGUGUGGGUGGUGACUUCAAUGUUAUAAGGAGAAGUUCAGAAAAACUGGGAGACUCUAGAUUAACUUCUAGCAUGAGGGAUUUUGAUGGCUUUAUAAGAGAAAGUGAAUUACAUGAUCCCCCAUUACGAAAUGCCUCUUUUACUUGGUCAAAUAUGCAAGAGUCACCUGUAUAUGGAAGAGGAGCCGCAUUCCCUUUUAGAUUUCCUGGAGUGGAUUGCCUCCAGUUGAGGGGUGGUUUGUUUUUUGGUUUUUUGUUUGUUUUUGGCCUUUGUAGCCUGGUAUACGUCCUGUAUACGUUGGGGUUUUUUUAGCCUCUUUAAUGAAUUGUGCUUGCUUAUCAAAAAAAAAAUAUGCAAGAGUCACCGGUGUGUAAGAGAUUGGAUCAGUUUCUCUAUUCAAAUGAGUGGGAGCUUUCAUUCCCUUAAAGCCUUCAAGAAGUUCUCCCUAAAUGGACAUCGGAUCAUUGGCCGAUUGUAUUGGAUACCAAUCCUUUCAAGUGGGGUCCAACACCUUUUAGGUUUGAGAAUAUGUGGUUGCAACAUCAUAGUUUCAAAGAGUGCUUUAGCAGUUGGUGGAGAGAAUUUGAAGGAAAUGGUUGGGAAGGUCACAAGUUCAUGAGGAAGCUACAAUUUGUUAAGGCAAAAUUGAAAGAUUGGAAUAAGAAUACUUUUGGAAUGCUUAAGGAAAGGAAAAAAACCAUCUUGGAUGAAAUAGCUAUCAUUGAUGCCAAUGAACAAGAAGGGGCUCUCUCUUCUGAUCUCGCUGUUCAAAGAGCUGUAAGAAAAGGGGAGCUAGAGGAAAUAAUAAUGAGGGAAGAAAUUCAUUGGAGACAAAAAGCUAAGGUAAAAUGGGUUAAAAACGGGGAUUGCAACUCAAAGUUGUUUCACAAAGUGGCUCACAGGAGACGAAAUAGGAAUUUCAUCAAAUUAUUGGAGAAUGAAAGUUGUUUGGUGUUGGACAAUUCCGAGAGCAUCACAGAGGAGAUAUUACUUUAUUUCAAAAUGCUAUACUCGAGUCCUCCAGGUGAGUCUUGGAGAGUAGAAGGUAUUGAUUGGUCCCCUAUAUCAGAAGAGAGUGCCUCUAGGCUGGAUUCCCCUUUCUUCGAAGUAGAGAUCUAUAAUGCCAUCUUUCAGUUAGAUAGGGAUAAGGCGCCGGGGCUUGAUGGUUUCACCAUAGUAGUGUUUCAGGAUUGUUGGGAUGUGAUCAAGGAUGACUUAAUGAGGGUGUUUGCAGAGUUUCACAACAGCGGGAUUAUUAAUCAAAACACCAAUGCAUCCUUCAUAGUUCUUUUGCCCAAAAAGAGUCAGUCAAAGAAGAUUUCGGAUUUUAGAUCUAUCAGCCUGAUCACUUGUCUCUAUAAGGUAAUAGCAAAAGUCUUGUCAGGGCGUCUAAGAGGACCUCUGACAUCAUCAAGUUCCCUGUUUAGACCUGCUAAAAAAUCUAUAACUCGAUCUUUUUCAAGCAUUUGCUGGUAUUUCACGCUUUCAGUUGGACAUCUCCACUCCACGUCAGAAACCAAAUCCAGUUCAUGCCAAAGAGUCUUCAGAUUGUUGAAGCAUUGAGUGACAGCCAAAUCUCCUUGUUUCAUGUCACAAAUUUGGGUUCUAAUCUCAUAAAUCUGAGCAGAAUUGCUAAGAUUAGAAUAGGUUUCUUUACUACCUCCCGAAGUUCCUCUACUGUCUGAAGGUACAUGUAAGGCUUUGAAAUUUCUGGUUCCAUCAAAUUGAGAAUCCAGGACAUGAUCAUGGAAUUUUCUGCAUCCCAGUUCUCAAAUGAAGCUUCGGUCUCCUUUGGCUAACGAGUUGAUCCAGUCAAAUACCCUAUUUUUCUUUUUCCGCAAAUGAAGAAUUUGACAUCUUGUGACCAUUGUAGAAAAUUCAAACCAUUCAGCUCAUGGUUUGUACUUUGCUAAUUUGGGUUGAAAUCUAAAUUGGUAUUCCCUUGCUGUGAUUGCUCCUGUUGCUGCCCUUGUUGGGAUUCCUCCAGCUGUUGUGGCUUCAGAUUAUCUCCUCUGUUGCCCCACCAUGGCCUUUUUUUUACCAUGGGUACAAAUUACAGAACCUAGCUUUGAUACCAUGAAAUUCUCUGAGAGAAUUUUUCUCAUUGAAUGAAAAUGGAAAAGUUACAAGAAUAAAUAGGGUGAGAUCAGAAUCUUAUCUCCCUUAGAAAAUAGGAACAGAAAAACAAACAAGUCCUAUCUACAAUAUUUGAAUACUGAAUUUGAAUUUUAAAUAAAAAAAACAUAAUCUAACAACCUAACCACUUCUUAACUUGUAGGUCCUGGUAAAUUUUAGACGAGGAUUGAAGCAGAUUUUCCUCGUCUUGGAAAAUCAUCGUCAUUCAUCAAAGUUCAAUUAAAUUUGUUUUUGUUCUAACACACACUUGUUUUGAUUAAUAACCACCUCAUUUCCAAAGAUAUGAUUGGAAUGGAUCAUCUGCCUUAUGAAACAUGGACGGUAUGGGGAAAGGAAAGAAAAGUGAAAUAAAAAUAAAUAAAUAUAAAAGUGAGCUAAAAAGCUUUUACUCCCAUAUGCCUCCAAUUUUUUUCUUCUUUUCGGUAGAGAAUGAAGACUUUGAAAAUGUAUGUGUUCUCUCAAAAAUUGUUGUUGUGUUUCAUUUUCCUUUAUAUUUUUACAACAAACUAAACCAGAAAAUUUUGAGAUUUCUUCCUUUUUUGGCCCCCUUUUACCUAGUAUUUUCCAUGAUUCAAACGAAGUGUAGUAAAAUUAGCACACUUGCCAUGCAUGAAACAGUUGGCUUGCUUAUUUUUGUGUGUGGGCUGCACCUGGUUUUCCCCCUCUUUUGCUUUUCUGUUAAUUUUUCCUUACCUGAUAAAGAAAAAAUAAUGAAUGGAAUGGCUCAAUGUCUGAUUUAAAUUAAAUUUUGUCCAUUAAUUUGUCCUAGAAAAAAAUGUAUCAGGUUUUGUUGCAAAAUACCCCCUUUGAGCUGUCUCUUUUGAAGUUAUAGAAAUAGUAUAUUUGUCUAAAGAUCUUGCCGGGAAAUUCUAAAGCUCUUGAAACAUUAUUUUUUUUAUCGGAAAUGAAGAGAAAGCUCUUGAAACAUUAUGUAUUUUCAUAACUACAUCGACAAGAAUCAUUCAGUUCUUAUGGAAGAAAGAGUCUUCUUGGACAAUUGGAACUUUCAUUUGACAUUCUAAUUUGAUUUUAUGUGUGCAGGUCUUUUGUACGUGAGCUAUAUGAUGGGCAGUUGGUGAUAAAGUUGAAAAAGGGUCUUGAUUUUCCUGCUAUGGAUCCAUGGGUUGGUUGUCUUUUUUGCCACUUUCCGCAUCAAUGGUGUAUUUUGUUUGUUGAACUAGUUAUUCUGUUUUCUUUUAUCACCUGCUCCUAAUUAAAUACUAUAGUUGCCCUUUUUCCAGAGUUUAAUGUUUAGUGUGCUGAUAAUGGAUGCCAAUGAUUUUUUAUUUCAGUCUCUACUAUUGCAUCUUGUUUCAACUUUUUAACAUGCUUUCAGGGAACAAGUGAUCCAUAUGUGGUCAUACAAUUGGAUGGGCAGGUUGUGAAGAGCAACGUCAAAUGGGGGUAAGUAACUAACAUUCUGAUAUUUUCCUUGAAAAUAGUAAAUUCAUGUUGACAAUAAAAGAGAAGAACAUGUGGAAGAAUGCAAUUAUGAAAGUUAUGAUUUUGUAAGGAGAAUUAGGCAAUCCUGUGAUCAAAGGGAUUUGUUGUAAUUGAGUUAGGAAAAUUCCUAAUUUAGGUGCUAGGAAUCUUUGUAUAUACAAGUUCUCUAAAACUUUUUGGAAUUGAAUCACAGUCAACAUCUUGAAUUGUUAACUCCAUAAACACAAUUCCUUCUCUUUGAACAAAUAGGGGAUAAACAACAACCUCCUUUCACCAAUAAGCAUGUUAUGAUUCCGUAGUUCCCAAAAUACAAAAGAAAAGCAUAUCUGAAUAUGGAGUAUCACACUCUCUAAACCAACCCUCCAUAUUGCUUUUGUGAAACUCAAUAACAGUUUAUUUAUCCAAACUAAAUUAGCAAAGAAAAAAAUCAUGAGAAACUUGCCUUUAAUAUGGGUUCCAAGUGGGAUUGGCGACGGUUUCACCAUAAAUUUUGACAAAAAACGUGUCGCUCUUAUGCGUGCGAAAAUAUGGCCAUGGCUCCCAGAACUACCACACAAACUGCUAGUUCUUUUCAGGAACACCUUUUUGCCACCACCGUCAUUCUCAGCGUCUCCCAAAACAUUGCAUUUCAUCAAACUCUCUCCUAUCUCAGACAUAACACUUUCAUUGUUCCAAACCUUCUAGAACCAUGACCAUAACUCCAAACAUAGUCUUGAAUCGGUUGCCAUUUGUGGCGAAAAGGAACUAUACAAUGACAGUUUUGCAUAGAAGUGUAAGAGUUUGAAGAAGAAGCUAUCGCAGCCAUGGAGAGGAGAAAAUAUAGAAAAAGGUUAUGUGGGCAUUGGAAAAAAGGGGCUUAGGUCAUCCUCAAGAGUCAAUGAGUAUUAUGGUUUUAAAGAGAAUAACAUGCAUAAUGUCAUUUGAUAUUAAUAGGUUAUGAUAAUAGAAUAAAUUUUGUAACGUUAGAUUAGUAUUAAUAGAUUGUAAUAAAUAAAUUGAUGAGAGGUAUUUUUAGAUGACAAUUUUGUAGAGAAAUCCAACAACUUGAAGAAGAAGUUGUUGCGGCCAUGGAGAGGAGAAAAAGAUAGAAAAGGGUUAUGUGCGCAUUGAAAAAGAUAGGGCUUAGGCCAUCCUCAAGAAUUAAUGAGUAUUAUGGGUUUUAAAGAGAAAAACAUGUAUAAUGUUAAUUGAUAUUAAUAGGUUAUAAUAAUAGAAUAAAUUUUGUAAUAUUGGAAUAGAUAUUAAUAGAUUAUAAUAAAUAAAUUGAUGAGGAGUGUUUUUUAAAUUAAAAGGCAAGUUGUCAGACAUUUUCAGAAUGAAAAAAAUUGACAAACACCUCACUUUUUAUAGCAGUAUAGAUAUGUGAGUCUCUGUACAGGCUAAAGAUUAAAGGAAAAGAAGUUUAUACCUCUCAUUCCUUCCAUCUUUGUUCUUCAUGAUGGUAUCAAAGCCUUAGGGUCAUAAAUUUGGGAAGAAAAAGAAUAUUUUUUUCGACCUUCAUUACCGAGUUGAAGACCAAAGUCGACCUUAAAGUUUAAUUCAAACCAUUGUAACAAACCUAGAUCAUGAACUUGGUGGCAAUAGCAACCGUCGUCAUCACAUUGUCAUGCCAUUGCUACAAGACAUUUUUGUCUUUGCCUCUCAUCACUGUCACGUCACUGAGAUUGCAUUGCAACUCCUUUCUUAGCCUUGCCAUCAGCCUUGGAUCUUUGUCGUCGGCCUUCCCUUUCCCUUAGACUUCCACCCUUACCUUGUCACAAACUCAUUGCGAAAGAGAAAUCACGUCAUUAUCGUUGCUGUAAGCAAAUAUUUUUCCUUUUACAAGUGUUUCUUGUGUUGGGAUUGAGUCCCUAAAAGUAAGAUAUGAUGUAACAAAGUUAAACUUAAUUGUCUUCUAGCUAUCCCUUUGGUGUAUUGACAUUGAUUUGAGUAUUUAGCCUAUAUCUCUUACAUUGUAUAUGACUUGGGUAUAUUAAGAGUUGCACAGAAGAUAUAAGUCAUGGGUUCCUUGUGAGUAGAUAAGUUGUCCAUAGUCGGUUCAUGAAUUUAAGCAAUCCAAUAGAGAUUGUAGUGUACCACCUUUUAAUUAGAGAGAUGACUUGUCUUGGCUAUCGAGAUGAGUUUCCCAUGGUGAGUGCACUAGUGUAUGUGAUGCACACUAGAUAGGACCUACGGUGAAUCAUGACACAAAACUAUCAAUUGUCAUAAUUCACUAAGCUACUAUGCUAUAUGGACUUUCAAUUUUGAGUGGAUAUCGAGUCUAUGCCAAAAUCAAUAGGAGGUUUUAAUUGAUGGGUGGGAUCUUAAAGUGGUCAUAUAUCCCUAUGGAUUGGGUUGUUGAUAGAGGUUGGUAAGAACAAGUAUUCUCAAUAUAGACUGUUAGAUAGUGUACAGUUAUUUAGGUUAUUUACUUUUCCUUUUCCUUUUCUUUCCUUAUUGUAUUGUGGGUCCCACUAACAUGUAUAUAUAUACCCAAGUCCAAUGUGUAUUAUUUAUAAUUUUUCAAUAACAAAAAUUAGGGAUUCUCCUUUUUCUCUCUUUUCACAUGGUAUCAGAGCCUAGGGAGAAAAAAACCCUCAUUAUUUCCGAUUUAUCUGUGACCGUGUUUCAUUCCGGUCACCCUUCCCAUCUCAUAAAGCUUUCUGAUUAAUCGUAUCACCGUCAGAAAACCCUAGCGCCGGCGACUUUUCCGGUGACCUUUUUCCGGCGAAGUCCUUUUUCGACACCGACCAUACCAUCAGGUGCGCAAGGAGGAGAUCUUCAAGUUUUCUCAAAGCACCGGAGGGAGACUCUCAGCCACGCGCCGGCCACGCGGGUUUCUUCUCCAGCGGCCUGAAUCUCACGCGCCGGCGCAUGAGGGCACGUGGAGCACUUUCCGGCCAUGCACUUCCACCUACAGCCUCGUCUGACGCCGUCUAGCCACCCUCCAUCUGUGCUUAUGCCAUCCGAGCCCUAAAAGUGCAUUUUUUGGAGUUUUUUGUCUCCGCCGGCCCUCUAAACAGCCUUUCCGGCAAGCUCCGAUGACUUCCUCUCCACCCCGAGCCCUGCACGUAUCUUAGGAAGUAUUCUUCUACCCUUCCAAUAGUGCCACAUUUGUUUUUCUUUACUAUUUGGUCUCUCACAGCCGCGGAUCCUCGGUUUUUCUUCUUUCAGCCGCAAUCUGAAGCCGUAUUAGGGCUCUCUUCGAUCCAAACAUAUUUCAUUCUCCAGAUAAGUAGAUAUGGCUACUAAAAGUUCCACUUUUUCCUCUGUCAUAUCUGGAUCUCCUAUGAUUACUUUGGAGAAAUUGGUUGGCAGUGAAAAUUAUUUGUACUGGUCUGCCUCUGUGGAGCUUUGGUUUAUGGGUCAAGGUUAUGAGGAUCACCUUGUUACACAGGAGGCGGAUAUCCUUGAGGUUGAUAGAGUACAAUGGAGGAAGAUAGAUGCCAGUUAUGUAGUGUGUUAUGGCAAUCAGAUGAUCCUAAGAUUCUGCUUCAUCUUCGGGCCUACAAAACAUGCUUUAAAUUUUGGAAUCAGGCGAAAGGGCUAUACACAAAUGAUAUCCAACGUCUUUAUAAGGUGGCUUCUUCUAUUUUCAAUGUCAGACAACAAGACAUGGAUUUAUCUACCAUUAUUGGCCAGAUUGCCUCUCUUAAGGAGGAAUUCUUGACCGUGAUGUCUCUUACUACUGAUGUUGGGGAUCAACGAACACAGAUUGACAAGUUCUUCAUGGUUCUUACGCUUAUUGGCCUCCGUCCAGAUCUCGAGAUCGUCUGCGAUCAGAUUCUUGGCAGUUCCUCCGUUCCAUCCUUGGAUGAUGUGUUUGCUCGCCUCCUCCGUAUCUCCUCCACUCAGACUUUGCCAUCUGAUAACACUUCAGAUUCUUCUGUGUUAAUUUCUUAAACUAAUUCUCGAGGAGGACGCAGUGGUAACCGAGGUAGAGGCCAACGUCCUCAUUGCACCUAUUGCAAUAAGCUUGGCCACACUCGUGAUCGGUGUUAUCAGUUACAUGGGCGGCCUCCCCGCACUACCCACGUGGCCUAGUCAUUUGAUCCUCAGUCGCCUCAGCCUCCCAGUUCCUCCACAUCUUAGGGUAUUUCCCUCACUGACAGUGAGUAUGAUGACUAUCUUCGCUAUCAGGCCACCAAGUCAGCUUCUGUUGCUUCUGUUGCCCGGACUGGUAAUGCUUCUACUUGUCUUACCCACACAUCUUCUCUUGGACCUUGGAUUCUAGAUUCUGGCGCUUCUGAUCACAAAUCUGGUAAUAAGGAUCUUUUCUCUUCUAUUACUACUACCUCUGUCUUACCUACUGUUACUUUAGCUAAUGGUUCCCAAACUAUGGCUAAAGGUUUUGGUUUCGCUCAUUCUUUCCCUUCCCUACCUCUCCAUUCUGUCCUUUAUGCCCCUGAGUGUCCUUUUAAUCUUAUUUCCAUAAGCAAAAUAACUCGCACUCUUAACUAUUCUAUCACUUUCUCUGAUAAAUUUGUGACCUUGCAAGACCGGAGUACGAGGAAGACGAUUGGCAUAGGACGUGAGUCUCAAGGCCUCUAUCACCUCACCUCGCCUUCAACUCCUGCAGUUUGCAUUUCCACUGAUGCUCCCCUCCUCAUCCACAGUCGCCUGGGCCACCCUAGUCUAUCCAAGUUCCAAAAAAUGGUCCCUAGUUUUUCAUCUUUGUCGUCACUUGCGUGUGAGUCCUGUCAGCUUGGGAAACAUACUCGUGUCUCGUUCCCAAAGCGUUUGAAUAAUCGGGCAAAAUUUCCUUUUGAACUUGUCCACACUGAUGUUUGGGGUCCUUGUCGGACCGCGUCUACUUUAGGAUUUCAGUAUUUUGUCACUUUCAUUGAUGACUAUUCUCGAUGUGCUUGGUUAUUUUUAAUGAAAAAUCGAGCUGAGUUAUUCUCUAUUUUCUAGAAAUUUUAUGCUGAAAUUCAAACCCAGUUCAAUAUUUCUAUUCGUGUGUUGCACAGUGACAAUGUUAGGGAAUAUAUUUCUGCACCAUUUACUUCAUUUAUGUCCCACCAUGGGAUCAUUCAUCAGUCUUCUUGUGCUUAUACUCCUCAACAAAAUGGGGUAGCUGAACGUAAGAAUCGACAUCUUGUUGAGACAGCUCGUACUCUCCUUCUCCAUAGUCAUGUUCCUUUUCGUUUUUGGGAGGACGCUGUUCUUACAACAUGUUAUUUGAUUAAUCGUAUGCCCUCAUCUGUAUUACACGAUCAGAUUCCUCAUUCCCUUCUUUUCCCUGACCAACCACUUUAUUUCCUUCCUCGUGUUUUGGUUGUACUUGCUUUAUUCAUAUUCUCACUCCUGGACAGGACAAACUUUCUGCCAAAGCCACAAAAUGCAUCUUCUUGGGAUAUUCCAGACUUCAAAAGGGUUAUCGUUGUUAUUCCUCUGAGACUCAUCGCUACUUUCUCUCCGCUGAUGUCACUUUCUUUGAGGAGUCACCGUUCUUCUCCACCUCUGAGUCUCUUCCUGUUUCUGAAGUCUUACCCCUUCCCAUUAUCUCCCCACCUGAUGUAGUGCCUUCUCGCCCACUUCAGGUUUAUCAUCGUCGUCAUCGUGUUGCUGUUCCUCCUUCUUUGGUCGAGGUACCUGUUGACUCACUUCCUAUCCCUUCAGCUUCUCCUGCCCCGGCUCUGCCUUCUUCUGUUAACUUACCCAUUGCUCUUCGGAAAGGUAAUCGAUCUACUCGUAAUCCUCAUCCCAUUUACAAUUUUUUGAGUUACCAUCGAUUAUCUUUACCCUAUUCUGCAUUUGUUUCUGCUAUAUCUUCUGUUUCUCUUCCCAAGAGCACCCUUAAGGCUCUUUCCCAUCCAGGCUGGCGACAGGCAAUGGUAGAUGAAAUGAUUGCUUUACACUCCAAUGACACUUGGGAUCUUGUUGUUUUACCCUCUGGUAAAUCUACAGUUGGUUGUCGUUGGGUCUACACAGUUAAGGUUGGCCCUAAUGGUCAGGUUGAUUGCCUUAAGGCCCACUUAGUUGCUAAAGGCUAUACUCCGGUUUAUGGUUCUGAUUAUGGUGACACUUUCUCUUCUGUUGCCAAGAUAGCUUCUGUUCGUCUAUUGCUCUCCAUGGCUACUAUGCAUUCUUGGCCUCUUUAUCAGUUAGAUAUUAAAAAUGUUUUCCUUCAUGGGGAUCUUGCUCAGGAAGUUUAUAUGGAGCAACCACCUAGUUUUGUUGCUCAGGGGGAGUCUGGUUUAGUGUGCAGGUUACACCGUUCUCUAUAUGGCUUGAAACAAUCUCCUCAAGCAUGGUUUAGCCGUUUUAGUUCUGUUGUUCAGGAGUUUGGCAUGUUCCGCAGUACAGCAGACCAUUCCGUUUUCUAUCAUCAUAACUCUUCGGGGCAGUGUAUUUAUCUGGUAGUUUAUGUGAACGACAUCGUCAUUACAGGCAGUGAUCAGAAUGGUAUUCACAAACUAAGGCAACACCUUUUCACCCACUUUCAGACUAAAGACUUGGGGAAACUCAAGUAUUUCUUAGGGAUUGAGAUAGCUCAAUCCAGUUCCGAUGUGAUUCUUUCCCAAAGGAAGUAUGCUUUAGACAUCUUGGAAGAAACCGGUAUGUUAGACUGUAAACCGGUAGACACUCCUAUGGAUCCAAAUGUCAAACUUAUACUAGGACAGGGGGAGCCUUUAGGAGAUCCUGGGAGAUAUCGGCGACUUGUAGGUAAACUGAACUACCUCACCAUUACUCGUCCAGACAUUUCUUUUCCUGUAAGUGUUGUUAGUCAAUUCCUACAGUCACCAUGUGAUAUCCAUUGGAAUGUUGUAAUCCGUAUUCUUCGAUAUAUCAAAAGCACACCAGGCCAAGGUGUGUUGUACGAGAACAGAGGUCAUACCCAUGUUGUUGGUUACACAGAUGCAGAUUGGGCUAGCUCACCCACAGAUAGAUGUUCCACUUCCAGGUAUUGUGUUUUUAUCAGAGGUAAUCUAAUACCCUGGAAGAGUAAGAAACAAGAUGUAGUGGUCAGAUCUAGUGCUGAAGCCGAGUAUCGAGUUAUGACUCUAGCAACAUGUGAACUCAUAUGGCUGAAACAUCUUCUUCGGGAGUUGAGAUUUGGAAAGGAUGAACAGAUGAAGCUCAUCUGUGACAACCAAGCCGCUUUGCAUAUUGUAUCCAAUCCAGUCUUCCAUGAAAGGACCAAACACAUUGAAGUUGACUGUCACUUCAUUAGAGAGAAGAUCGCAUCAGGAUGUGUGGUGACUAGUUUUGUCAAUUCAAAUGAUCAACUAGCAGAUAUUUUUACUAAAUCUCUCAGAGGUCCUAGAAUUAAAUACAUUUGUAACAAGCUUGGUGCAUAUAACAUAUAUGCUCCAGCUUGAGGGGGAGUGUUAGAUAGUGUACAGUUAUUUAAGUUAUUUACUUUUCCUUUUCAUUUUCUUUCCUUAUUGUAUUAUAGGUCCCACUAACAUGUAUAUAUAUACCCAAGUCCAAUGUGUAUUAUUUACAGUUUUUCAAUAACAAAAAUUAAGGAUUCUCCAUUUUCUCUCUUUUCACAUAGACACCAUAAUAUCUCAUGGAAUUGAGACAAUGUGUUCCCUUGGGUGAUUUAAAGGACAUAUGAUCAUAAAAUUUGUGACACCGUAGUAAUUCCUUAAGUGAAAUUUGACAUAUGCUUUUUAUGUGAUGGAAUAUGUCAUUUGAUUAUAUAAUAAGUGAGAUUUGUAACUCAAUGAUUGAAGAAGUAAUUUUGAUAGGUGAUAGCACUACCUUAUUAGAUUAUGGACACCGGUUUAUAGGAAGUUUGCAUGCAGUGGAUAGUAGGUCAUGAACUCGAGCUUUGUCUUAUUGUUAUUUACAUAAGGUAUUGAAGUAUAGUUGAUUCUCUUUAAUGGAAUGUUAUUUACUUUAGAAUUGAAUUAAGAGGGAGUCAAUACUCCUAUGGUUCUUAGUAGUCCCCUCUUUGAACUCAUAUACCAUGAUGACACAAUUUACGAGGGUUAGAUUGGCUCUAGGUUCACUCUUGUGAGUAAGAGCGUUUUGGUAAUUAUAUAAGGUUGCAUAAAGGAUAGUGAACAAAGUUUCUGGAUUAGGCUAACUGAUUAAUUAGAUGGUUAUGUGUGGUUAAUCAAUUAGGACCCGUUUUGGGCUAAAUUAAAUGACCCAAGCCUUGUUGGACUCAAGUCACUAAAGCCCCAUAAAGAACUCUAUAAAUACCCCCUGAGAGGUUAGGGUUUCUAACACUUUUGGUGAGAGCUUUCUUCCAUCUCCAGAGAGAGAGAGAAAGAGAGAGAGAGUCAUAGCUUCCUCCCUUCUAAAACCCACACUUUGGAGUGCUAAGAUCGUGGUUCAAGUUAUCGAGUGGAAGAUUUUAGGUGUACGAGACCUUGAGACAUGUUCUUCAUUGCUAGGAAUUAAUCUGGGAACAUCCAGAUACAAGUAUGACUACCAUAUCUCUAAAUCUUUAUUCUAAUAUGGUUUUUAUAGCCCUUGACCUUUGAUGCUAUUGUUACAGCCACUGCUAUCCCACAUCGAUACCUGUGGGAGCUCUAACACGGAUCCUUACAAGUAAGUAAGUUCUUUACCUAAGAGCUCUUAUAUAUUUUCCAUAAAAAAAAAAAAAAAGAAAAAAAAAAAGAAAAUGUUUGAGAUAUCAUAAAUUACCGUUGUCAUUGCUCAAUCUAAAGAAGUGAUUACUAGUAAUAAUACAGGAUAAUUGUAGAAUAUUCAAGCGGUACACAGGCUUAAUGGGAAGAAUUAUUUAAAAUGGUCACAACUUGGUCGUACCUUUCUGAAGGGAAAGGGAAAUUAAGUCAUCUCCUAGGAAUUGGACCAAGGAGAGGAGAUCCUUGGUUUGAUGCUUGGGAUGAGCAAGACUCUAUGAUUAUGACAUGGUUGUGGAACUCAAUGACGCUUGAAAUUAGUGACAUAUAUAUGUUUUUGACAACUAUUAAAGACAUCCAGUAUGGAGUUCACUAAACAUACUCAAAGGCAUUAGAUGUAGCCCAAGUUUACGAAAUAAAAGUUAAGAUUGGAGUGGCUAAACGGGGAAACAAGAGUGUCACAGAGUAUGCCAAUAUGUUGAAAAAUCUAUGGCAAAAAUUUGAUCAUUAUCGAUGUAUUGAGACAAAAUGCCCUAAAGAUGCAACAAUCCUGAAGAAUUAUAUCAAAAAGGAUCUAGUCUAUGAUUUCUUAGUUGGUCUCAAUGUUGUGUUUAACCAAGUUAGAGUUCAAAUAUUUAGCAAAGAACUUCCAACUUUGAAUGAGACUAUCUUUAAUAUUCAAGCAAAAGAAAGUCGAAGUGUCAUGCUUGAACCUUAGAAUAUGAAAGGCUCGACUAUGGUUGCUAACAAAAGUAGUGAUCAUAAGGCUAGCAUUGCUAAUAACAAAAGGAUUGAUUGGUCAAGGGCUUCAAAUCGUGAUAACAGGGAUAAAUUAUGGUGCACUUACUGCUAGAAGCCUAGACAAACAUGGAGAAAUACUAGAAACUUCAUGGUAAGCCAACCACAUCUAGCAAAGAGUGGGGUUACAAUGGAGGGUAGCAGAGGGAUAAUGAACAAGCAUACUUAUCUUUUGUUCAGCUAGUUGAAGAAAAAUUCUUGGAACAAGGUGGAAUCAGGAGAAGAUUGAAAAACUAAGAGUUUUGUUGGAAACUCUUGAGAAACUUUCAGGACCUGCUCACUAGCACUUUUAGGUAAGUUUCCUAUUUCCAUUGAAUUAAAAGCAUCGGAUAAAACCUUCUCCAGUUCAUAGGUUAUAGAUUCAGGUGUCACAGAUCACAUGACUCAUUCAUUAUGCUAAUUUAACAAUUAUAACUCUUGUCUAAGCAUUCGAAAAAUAGCCACAACAGAUUGUUCAUUAACCACUGUCAUAGGUGUAGGAGAUGUUCAAAUUAGUCCUAGGCUAACAUUUAAAAAUGUGCUCCAUAUUCCAAAUUUGUCCACUAAUCUUGUUUCUAUACAAAAGCUUACAUAGGAUUUAGGUUGCAUUGUGACUUUUUACCCUUCCUAAUGUGUAUUUAAGGACCAAGACUUGGGGAAGAUGAUUGGACUUGCUAAGGAAGGGAAUGAGCUAUACUACCUUGAGACACCAAGCAAGUCAUUUGUAUCUUUUCUUUUUUAUCAUGACAUAUUCAAUAAAGAAAAAAAUCUAGCUUCAUCAUCAUAGACUAAGACAUCCGUCAUUUAGAAUUCUUUAAGAUCAUGUUCCCUUCUCUAUUUAGGAAAUUAGAUGUUGAGAGCUUCCAUUGUGAUGUAUGUGAACUUGCUAAACACAGGCGUUCAACCUUCCCCACCAAUAAUAAAAGAAGCUCAAAGCCUUUUCAUCUAAUUCAUAGUGAUAUUUGGGGGCCCUUUCCCUAUCCUUAAUAUAUUCGGGGCACGUUGGUUUGUGUCUUUCAUCGAUGAUUGUACUAGGAUUUCUUGGAUUUUCUUACUUAAACACAAACUUGACGUAAGUUUUGUUCUUCCAAAUUUCCAUAGCAUGAUAAAAAAUUAGUUUGAUGUCACUAUCAAGAGGUUUUGGUUUGACAAUGCCAGAGAUUAUUUCAAUCAAGUUCUAACUCCAUACUUUCAACAUGAGGGAAUAAUUCAUGAGUAAUAUGUCAAUACCCCACAAAAAAAUAGAGUUGCUGAGAGGAAAAAUGGCCACCUCCUUGAUACAACAUAAACUUCUUGUUCCAAAAAUAUGUGCCUAAAUCUUAUUGGGGAGGAAGCCAUCCUAACCACCACACAUCUCAUAAACUGAUUUCCUUUUAGAGUCUUAGGUUUCAAAAGUCCCAUAGAAAGACUCAUCAUUUUAUCCUAAUGUGAGAACCACAAACCAUCUCAUUCCUAAGAUAUUUGGGUGUCUCAUUUGUGCAUGUUCAUAAUCCAAGCAGGGGAAAAUUGAACUUAAGAGCAGUUAAAUGUAUAAUUGUGGGAUAUUCUUCAAUUCAAAAGGGAUAUAAAUAUUACCAUCCACCAUCCAAAAUUUUUAUUAUCUUAGCAGAUGUUAAUUUCCACAAAAGUGAGUCUUAUUUUUUCUCUCUUUUAUCUUUAGAGGGAGAAUUCAAUCAAGGAAGACAAGGAUCAAGAUUCCUAUUUCCUUUCUGAAUGACCCUCCAAAAGUCUUUGGUCUAGUGUUUGAAUCUCAAUUUGUAUCCUACUCCUUUGAACUGUUUUUCAGUGUAUUUUUCUAUAGUUUAGCUGUCUUUGGCAGGAGGAUUCCUCAUCCUUCUUUUGUACUUUUUAUCUAUCAAUAAAUCUUUGUGUCGUUUCCAAUAAAAAAAAAAUCAUACUCCUUUGAACUCGAGUCGUCAUCGCUUAAGCAUGUUCCUGAGAAUUGAAUGACUGGUAAAAUGUACUCAAGGAAGAAAGUUAUAGUCCUUAGACUUAUGCAAGUCUAAGAAUCUGAACUGGCUUUGGGGAAUGAGGUAAUAGUCUCUCAUCCUAAGUCAGAAUUUCAGUUUGAAAAACCUAUAGAUCAAAAUCUCCUUAUUACCAUUAAGAAGGGAACAAAAGAAUGCACUAAACGUCCUUUGUAUCCACUUUCCCAUGUUGUGUCAUUCGAAAAGUUGUCUCCAUCCUAUAAGAGUUCUCUUAUAAGUUUGAACAAUAUUCAUAUUACUACCACUCUAUUUGAGGCUUUAUCUAAAGAAAAUUGGAGACAAGCCAUAAAUGCAAAAAUGGAGACCUUGGAAAAGAAUAAAACUUUGGAGAUGGUGGAUUUGCUUGUAGGAGAAAAUCCAAUGGGAUGUAAGUGGGUCUAUAUUGUUAAGUAUAGAGCAAAUAAGACAUUAGAGAGGUACAAGGCAAGAUUGGUAGCUAAAGAAUACACUCAGAUAUAUGACGUGGACUAUCUGGAGACAUUUGCUCCGAUUUCUAAGAUGAACACAGUCAUAAUUUUAUUAUCAUUGAUAGCAAAUUAUAAUUGGAAUCUACAAUAGUUCAAUAUAAAAAAUGCAUUUCUGAAUGGAGAUCCGGAAUGAGAGAUUUAUAUGGAAGCCCUUCUUGGAUUUGGUAAUGACCUAGCCACUAAAAAGGUGUGCAAACUGAAGAAAGCUCUAUAUAGGUUGAAACAAUCUCCAAGGACGUGGUUUAGAAGGUUUUCAAAAUUAAUGAAGAACAUGAGAUACAAACAAAAUCAAGAAGAUCAUACAUUGUUUAUCGAACAUUCAGAUUCAGAGGGAGUCAUAGCUUUUUUGGUAUACGUGGAUGACAUCAUUAUGACGGGACUUGAUGAGCUAGAGAGACAGACUUUGAGACAAUGCUUAACUAAGGAAUUUGAGAUUAAAGAGUUAGGACGGUUGAAAUACCUUAUAGGAAUUGAGGUUGCAUAUUCUAAACAAGGAAUUAUUAUUUCCCUGCAGAAAUGUGCAGUGGACCUUCUCAAGGAAAUGGGGAAGUUGGCAUGUAAACCAGCAAACACAUCAGUAGAUCCUAAUUAUAAGCUUGGAGAAGCUGAGGAAAAUACUGCAAUAGAUAGAGAGAUGCGUCAACAUUUAGUAAGAAGACUCAUUUAUCUUUUUUACACAAGAUCAGAUAUGACAUAUGUUGCGAGUGUGAUCAGCCAAUUCAUACAUAGUUCGACAGAGGUUUUGCAAGUUGCUAAUUGAGUACUACAGUACCUUAAGAGGUCUCUAGGUAACAUCCUCUUUAAAAGAUGCUCGAGACUAAUACUUGAAGCAUACAAAGAUGUAGAUUAUGUUGGAUCUGUAGUUGAUAGAAGAUCAAUUAUUGGGUAUUGCACCUUUCUUGGUGGGAAUUUGGUGGCAUGGAGAAGUAAGAAAUAGAGUUUGGUGGCAAGGUCUAAUGCAGAAACAGAAUUUCGCGCAAUGGCCUAAUGAAUUUGUGAACUACUAUGGUUGAAGAUCAUUUUAGAAGAUUUGAAGAUUAAAUAGGAUGAGCUAAUGAGACUUUGUUAUGAUAAUAAAUCUGCAAUCAGUAUUGUACAUAAUCCAAUGCAAUAUGAUCGAAUGAAACACAUAGAAAUAGACAGACAUUUUAUUAAGAAGAAACUAGAUAGUGGAUUGAUUUGUACUCGUUAUGCAUCUACUAAUUGCCAACUUGCAGAUAUACUCACAAAAUGUUUAAACAGUACAAAUUUGUAAACAAGUGUGUCUAAGUUGGGAAUGGAAAACAUCGAUUCACCAGCUUGAGGGGGAGUGUGCAAUCAUGAAAUUAGGAAAGUUGUGAUUUUGUAGGGAGAAUUACGCAAUCCCGUGAUCAAAGGGGAGUUGUUGUAAUUGAGUUAGGAAAGUUUUUAAUUGAGGUGUUAGGAAUUUUUGUUUAUAUAUGCGAGUCUUUGUACAGGCUAAAGAUUAAAGAAAAAGAAUUUAUACCUCUAAUUCCUUCCAUCUCUCUUCUUCUACAUAGCUGGUUUUUGUUGUUCUCACCAAAAUUUUGCUAAAAAGAUCCCUAAUGAUUGGUGAGGAAUUCUAUAAAAAAGGCAGGCUGUUUUUCUUGAUAGUGCUUUUGUACCUGGAGAUUGAUGAAAUAAGUGGGAGGGUAGGGGAAUAGAUGCUAUUUUCUUUAUUCACCAUCUCUCUUAUUUUUUCAUUGUGGAAACCCUAGAUUAAAUUAAUCUUUUGAGAUAUCAUUUAGAGAUCUCAUGUAGUGUUAUUUUUUCAGUAACCUUGUCCUCCUCUGGUUACACUGAAGGAGCAGAAGAAACGUUUAUGUUUACAUAAUUGCUAUAUCUUUAUGUUACUUGCUUGAAUAGUGGGACUUUCCUCUUUGAAUUUUACUGGGGAUACUAAUACAUGUUUGCAAAAUUGACUUCAUGGAAUUGGAAAGUUGUUACAAAUUGUCAAAUACAACAACCAAGCAGCAAAUAUAUUCUGCCUGUAAGACAAGUCAAUAAAGGACAUUAUUUUAAUUAGGAGUUGCUUUUAUAGAUAUGUGUAAUGCAAUUAUGUGACAUCAUGGAUUACAUAAACCAGAUGAAUUUCCUAUAUCAGCAUGAAGGAUAUCGCAUCCUUCUUUGGAUUCAAUUAAUGAUUUUUAUGGAAAAAUGAUAUGAACCACAUGGAAUUAUCACAAAAUUGUACAUGUAGCAAAUACAUAGACGUUUACUCUAGAUCAUCUUAUGUUUUAAUGAAACUUAAGUUGAAAUGUCUGAAUGGGUAAUAUAUUGAUGCAGGACAAAAGAGCCAACCUGGAAUGAGGAGUUCUCUUUAAAUAUCAAGCUACCCCCAACCAAAAACCUUCAGGUUAAUAUACAUUCUCUUGGCAAAUCUCCAAUUUAUUUUUUCAUGUUGGAUGCUCUAAUCUCCUCCUCAAUUAGCUAUUGCUUCUCUCCUUGUUGACAUAAAUGAAAUAGGAAAAAAAGAAGUUGAUAAACAUAUGAAGAAGGCAUCCUUACAAAAAGCUUCUUAUGAGUAAAGCCAUUGAAGCCUAUUAAGUCACCAAUUUUCCUAGAAGCUUAAGCUAUUAGGUAGUGGAUCAAAAAUACAUAUCAAGCUCGUUUAGGCUUUAAUUAGUCCUAAUGCCAUGCUUUACUGACAACUUUCUGUAGGCUUGCAUGUGGUCUCAAUAAAUUGAGAGAAAUAAACAUGCAUUGCAGUUUGACAUGGUUUUCCACUAAUUCUUGAUGUAACUUUGUGUUAGCGUACUUACUGUUUUUUAUUGUUUAGACAGGUGAGAGAAUAAAGGGUGCUUCCUAUUUUUUAGGGAGUUAGUAUCUAUUCCUAUCUAUCAAGUUAGUAGAAUUAAAAGGGCAGAUCAUUGCAAAUUGUUGGUUUUAAUGGUUUUGAUGAAUAAAAUGCAGUGCUUGAGAUUGUUUCUCUCCUUUUAUUAGUUUUUUUUUUUUUCAUGGUAUCAGAGAUAAUAUUAAGUUGAGAGAGACAAUGGUCAAAACCACCAUGAUAGGAAGAAGAAGAGUUGAUGGUUCUAAUGUUACUUCUAGCACUGCUCAACCAAUUUCUACAAUUGUUCCCACUGCAAUUUCUGAAAAUUCAAACCAUACUUAUUUUUGAACUGGUCCCACUUGGUGUUGAUGGUGGUUUGAGGCAAGGGAAAACUAGGCUAUUUGGAUGGCACAAUUAAAAAACCAAGCAAGGAUGAUCCUUCCUAUCCGAGUUGGGAGGCUCAAAAUUCAAUGGUCAUAGCUUGGUUAAUUCAUUCCAUGGAAGACAACAUUGCUGAUACGUAUAUCCUCUUUCCCAUGGCUAAAAGGAUUUGGAAUGUGGUGACAUUAGCUUACUCAAACCUUGAGAAUUCAUCUCAGAUGUUUGAGCUCCGCAAUAAAGCUAGAAAUCUGUGGCAAUGAGAGCAUGAUUUGACUCAAUACUACAGUGAUUUGACCAAACUUUGGCAGGAAUUGGGUCUUUUCAACUCGCCAGUGUGGAAAGACCCAAAUGAUGUUGUACUAUAUUGGAAGAUGGUGGAGAGUGAUCGAAUAUAUGAUUUUCUUGCUGGCCUCAAUAAAAAGUUGGAAGAUGUUAGAGGAAGACUGUAGGGGAUCAAACCGUUGCCUCAAAUUGAAGAGAUUUUUGCUGAAGUAAGAUGUGAGGAGUGUCGCCGACGUGUUAUGCUAGGAGGCUCAACAAUUUCGACCAUUGAAACCUCAGCAUUGGCUGCUUGUGGUUUAGAUAACUGUGCUGAGUCUAGAGGGAAUAAAAAAUGGUGUGACCAUUGUCAGAAACCAAACCACACCAAAAAUACCUGCUGGAAAUUGCAUGGAAAACCCGCUAACUGGACUCCAAGCUGAUCUCGUGGACGUGAUGGUAAAGGAUUUCAGGUGACGGCUGAAUCUGAGACAAGCUACCUCUGAAACAUCCACUGUUUUCUUUGAAAAGCAAUUGGAGCAAAUUCGGAAGAUGUUAUCCGCUUCAUUGUCGUCCUCAACAUCACUUAUGGAAAAAAAUUGUACCAUUAUGACUACAUAUGGCAGUCUUACAGAAAAAGGUGAGCCAUGGAUCAUUGAUUCCGGGGCAAUGGACCAUAUGACUAGAUGUGAAAAAAUGUUCACGGCAUAUGCACUGAGUCCUGGUAAUCAUCGAGUAAAAAUUGCGGAUGGUUCUUUUUCAGUUAUUGCUAGUGUUGGAACUAUUAAAAUCAGUUCUAAUAUUAGCCUUCAGGCAGUUCAUGUGCCUAAUUUGUCGUGCAAUCUUUUGUCAAUUAGCGAAAUUAUGAAGGAUUUGAAUUGUGUAGUAAAUUUCUCUCCUUCAGUUUGUGUUUUCCAGGACCAGAUUUCAGGGAAGAGGAUUGGCAGUGCUAGGGAGUUUGAUGGUCUUUACUAUUUUGAGAGUGCAUCUUCUAUGGGUGGUCAUGUUCAAUUGACUGUAGGAAAUUCUUCUCUUUCUAGAUCUCAACAAAUAAUGUUAUUACAUUGUCGGCUAGGACAUCCAAAUUUUGUUUAUUUGAAAUAUUUGUUUCCUUCAUUGUUUCAAAAACAUGAUUCGUUUCAAUGUGAAGUGUGUCGGUUAGCUAAGCAUAAAUGUGUUUUCUUUCCUCCCCAACCAUAUCAUGCUUCAAAACCUUUCAUGUUGAUUCACAGUAAUAUUUGGGGACCUUCAUGCAUUUUAAGUCUUACCAAUAAAAGAUGGUUUGUUACUUUCACAGAUGAUCACACACGUGUUUGUUAGGUGUAUCUUUUAAAGGAAAAAUCUGAAGCUGGGAUUGUUUUUCAAAAUUUUCAUUCAAUGAUGAAAACCCAAUACAAUAAAAGUAUUAAAAUGCUUUGUACCGACAAUGGUACAGAAUGUUUUAGUUCUAUCCUUGGGGAUUUUCUCAUAAAACAUGGAAUUAUACAUCACAGCUCUUGUGUUAGCACACCACAGAAAAACGGUAUUUCUGAAAGAAAAAACCGCCAUCUUUUAGAGGUUGCUCGUUCUUUACUAUUCAUGUCCAAUGUUCUAACACACUUUUGGGGGGAUGUUGUGUUAACUGCAUGUUAUUUAAAAAAUUGGAUGCCAUCUCGUGUUCUAAAGUUCCAAACACCAUUAAAUCGUCUUUCUGAGUCAUACCUAGAUUCAUGGUAUUUUUCAAACUUGGACUUUAAAAUUUUUAGUUGUACUUCUUUUGUCCAUAAUCUCGAUCCAAACUUAAGCAAACUUGAUCCUCGUUCUUAGAAGUGUAUUUUUCUCGGGUAUUCAACUACACAAAGAGGUUAUUGGUGAUAUUCACCAGAAAAAAGAAAGUAUUUUGUGUCUAGGGAUGUUACAUUUUUUUUAGAACCAACCAUUUUUUACCAAAAAUCAUCUUCAAGGGGAGAAUAUACAUGCAGAUAUUUUUUGGGAUUCUUUGAAUUUGUCUUCUAGUGUUGAUUCAAAUUCAAACUUGGGUUAUGGGAGCAUUUUUUGGAAUUUUCUCCUGAUUUUCAUCCAACAAAUUCUGUCAAUUCAGAGUCAGUUUCUCCAAUUCAAAUCUGUCCAGAUUUGUCAACUAAAAAUCCAGCCACAACUCAGCCAACUCAAAUUUAAAAUUCAACUGAUUGCUGUCCAGGUUCAUCCGCUAAAAAUCUGAUCACAAAUCUGCCAAUUCAAAUUCAAAAUUCACCUGAAUUUUUUCUUGGAGAAACUCCAAAUUCAAAUUCAAAUCUACCAAUCAGUCCAUUAAUUCAAAUUUCAAAUCGGACGCCUACAAUCAAGGAGCUUUAAUCUACAGGGGGAGGACAACUACAGCCAAUUAAGAUAACCUACUCACAAAAGAAACAUUCGAAAAAUAUGGAAAUACCAAAUGCUUCACACAGCCAAGAAUCCAAACCCGGAAUCAGGUAUGGAAACAAACCAGUCUGACCAAAACAUUCCAAUUGCAGUGAGAAAAGGAGUCAUGUCUUGUUACUUAUGAACAUUUGUGCAACUCUGUUCAAGCUCUAGUUUCCAACUUGGCUGUUGUGAAAAUUCCAAAUAAUAUUCAAGAGGCAUGGGAGAAUCCAGAUUGGAGAAAAGCAAUCAGAGAUGAGAUGCAUGCUCUUGAAAAAAUUGGUACGUGGGAGGUUGUGCCAAAACCAAAAGAAAAGGUGCCAGUGGGAUGUAAAUGGGUGUUCACUAUCAAGUAUAAAGGUGAUGGAUCAAUUGAGUGGUACAAGGCUCGGUUGGUCGCAAAAGGAUGCACCCAAACGUAUGACAUUGACUAUCAAGAGACAUUUGCACCGGUGGCAAAGAUGAAUACUGUACAUGUUUUAUUGUCAUUAGCUACAAACUUGGAAUGGCCUCUACAGCAACUUGAUGUAAAAAAACACCUUCUUAAAUGGAGACUUAGAAGAAGAAGUCUACAUGGAGUUGCCUCCUGGAUUUGAUGAAGAAAGGACAAAUGGUAAAGUAUGCAGAUUAAAGAUGGCUUUAUAUGGUUUGAAGCAAUCACCAAGAGUGUGGUUUGGUCGCUUUGCCAAAGCAAUUCGGAGACAGGAUUACAAGCAAGCUCAAACAGAUCAUACCCUGUUUUAUAGACGUAAGAAUGGCAAAAUUACUAUUCUUAUAGUCUAUGUUGAUGAUAUAAUAUUAACCGGGGAUGAUGUGAUUGACAUGGAAAGGCUGAAACAAAAACUUGCAACUGAGUUUGAGAUGAAGGAUUUAGGAAGCCUAAGAUACUUUCUAGGUAUGGAGGUUGCAAGAAACAAGAUUGGAAUCUCUGUAUCACAAAGAAAGUACGUGUUAGAUCUUUUAGGAGAAACUGGUUUGGUGGGGUGCAAACCAGUAGAAACACCGGUUGAUUCAAAUGUGAAGAUUGACACACAAAAGGUUAAUAAUCCAGUAGAUAGUGGGAGAUAUCAACAUCUGGUGGGAAAACUUAUUUAUCUAUCUUACACCAGGCCUGACAUUGCCUUUGCAGUAAGUUGGGUUAGUCAAAUCAUGCAUGCUCCAGCUGAGGAACACAUGGUGGCAGUUUAUAGGAUUUUAAAAUACUUGAAAGGAACACUUGGCCGAGGUCUUUUCUUUGGGAAAAAUGGUGAAGGAAGCAUAGAAGCUUAUAUAGAUGUUGACUGGGCAGGAGCUAUUGAUGAUAGGAAGUCUACUUCCGGAUAUUGUACUUUUGUUUGGGGAAAUUUGGUAACAUGGAGAAGCAAGAAGCAAAGGGUUUUAGCUAGAAGUAUUGCCAAAGUGGAAUUGAGAUCAGUAGCUCAUGGGAUUUGUGAAGUGUUGUGGCUACAAAUUUUUUUAGAAGAGUUGGAUGUAAUGGUGAAGCUGCCUUUAAGAAUUUACUGUGAUAAUAAGGCUGCCAUCAAUAUCUCACACAAUCAGUUCAUCAUAAUAGGACGAAGCAUGUUGAAGUUGAUAGGCAUUUCAUCAAGUAAAAAAAUGAGGAUGGUACUAUUUGCAUGACUAUGUACCUACUACAAAACAAGCUGCAGAUGUUCUCACUAAAGGACUUCCAAGGCCAUUGUUUGAGAAGUUAAUACACAAGUUGGGCAUGUUUAAUUUGUACAGUCCAGCUUGAGGGGGAGUGCUAGCGUACUUACUAUUUUUUAUUGUUAGACAGGUGAGAGAAUAAAGGGUGCUUCCUAUUUUUUAGGAAGUUAGUUUCUAUUCCUAUUUUCCAAGUUAGUAGAAUUAAAAGGGCAGAUCAUUGCAGAUUGUUGGUUUUAAUGGUUUUGAUGAAUAAAAUGCAGUGCUUGAGAUUGUUUCUCUCCUUUUAUUAGUUUUUUUUUUCUUCACUUUGACAUGAUUUUUAUUUUAUUUUAUUUUAUUUUAUUUUAUUUAUAGGAGAAUCAGCAGCAAGCUGGUUAACAAAAGUAAACUGUGGUAGUUGAGAGAAUAAGAAGAUGCAGAACCUUAGAAUGGCUCUGAUACCAUGAGGAAAUUAUGAAAUAUUUCCAUUGAUUUUUGAAUGUUGAUGAUUACACAUUUAUGUAGUUACAAAAUCUAAUCUAAACUGAGAAAGAAAAUAAGGUAUAGCUGUACAAUUGGAUUCUGCCUAAGAAAAGAAAAGUCAACAGCCUAAUUAUAUUGAUAAGUUUGGGGAAAGGAAAAAGGAAAGGGGGAAAAAAGGGAAAAGGGAAUAUUCAGUGAUUAGAAGACUGAUUCAUUCAAAUUUGAUCCUUGACUUAUUCAACACCAGCCUAUUGCUUUUAUGGUUAUAUGUUGGCAUUUUCUAUUAUCUUAGCUUUGUUAAAUACCUUUGCAUUGCUCUGUUUGAAUUGUGCGAAUAAAUGACCUUAAAGUUUUCACUUAUAAUUAAGUAAAAGAAUAUGUUUAUAAUGAAAAUUCUUUUGAAGUUGCUUCAGUGCUCUUAUUUUCUAAUAUGCAGUAUUGAACUUUAGGUUGCAGCUUGGGAUGCCAACCUUGUAACUCCACAUAAACGCAUGGGGAAUGCAGCCAUCAGUCUGGAAUGCCUCUGUGAUGGUGAGAAUCCACUGAAUCAUAUCCAUGGUCAUAAAUGUUUAUGAAACUGAUGAAUGACAAAUCACAUCUUUAGUAGUUAAGUUCAAUAGUUUAGGUUUUAGCUGGAGUGUGGUUGGAUAGAUAUAGAAAUGUUUGUUGAUAAACUAAUGAUUGCAUGAUAAGUUAUGCAUUUGAUAAUGUGGAUCAGUGUAAUUACAAAUACAGAGGCUUCAAAAUUUUUGUUUUAGAAUGAUGAAAUCACAAACCUGUGUUUUUCUAGGAAAUUUGCAUGAGGUGCUGUUGGAAUUGGAAGGAAUGGGGGGUGGGGGGAAAAUACAGCUGGAGGUAAGUUUUCUUGAAAGAAGAAAAAAAAACCCUUACCAUGAGUAAAAAUUCAGGGGAUAAAAAAUUUGUUAUUUAUUUUUAAAUUUUGAGAAUUUUAUCUUAUUUUAGUUUGGUUUUUUUAUAAACCAAUUAUUCAGAGAUAGUAAAAUUUAUAUUAAAGACAAUAACUAAGAGAAGUUCUAUUGAAUUGUGUAUAUCAUGGUUCAAUCAUGAAAAUCAUCCUUUUUAUCAGAUUUCAUUGGCUGUGGAAAGAUGGAAUUAGAAUUCAGAAUAAUUCAUUUCUUAUUGAUUUAACUGAAUUAUAAUCUAUUUAUACAAUUUCUACAAUCAAGAAAAAAAAGGGAAUAGGCUAUCUAAGGAAAUAUUUUCUACAAUUACUCUUAACUUUCUUAUGUUACCAUACAUAUACAAAUUUGAUUCGACUUUUUAUUCAAAUCCCAUGAUUUCAGUCCAUAAUCAAAUCAGAAAAUUACAACACUUCCCCUCAAGCUGGUGCAUGGAUAUUUUACUAUAAAUAUAUAGAUCUGAUUUGACUUUCUAUUCAAAUCCCAUGAUUUCAGUCCAUAAUCAAAUGAGAAAAUUCCAACACUCACCCUCAAGCUAGUGCAUGGAUAUUUUACUAUGAAUAUACAAAUUUGAUUCGACUUUCUAUUCAAAUCCUAUGAUUUCAAUCCAUAAUCAAAUCAGAAAAUUACAACACUCCCCCUCAAGCUAGUGCAUGAAUCUUAUACAUUCCCAGCUUGUCUAUUAUAGAAUUAAACAUGGUGUUUACGACUCCUUUGUCAAGACAUGUGCUCCUUGCUAUUUAGUAAACACAAAAUGCUACCUCCACUUGCUUAGUUCUUUCAUGUUUGACCAGGUUGUGAGCAAUACUGAUAGUAACCUUAUUGUCACAAUGGAUAGUUGUUGGUCUCUUAGGCUCCAAUUGUAGCUCUUCCUAGAGAUUUUUAAUUCACAAUACUUUACAAAUUUCCUAGGCUAAUGCGUGGAACUCAACUUCAGUGAUUGAUCAUGCUACAACAGGCUAUUUCUUGCUUCUCCAAGUAAUAAAGUUACCUCCUACAAAAAUACAAUAACCUGCAGUUGAACUUCAAUCAUUGACUAAACUAGCCUAGUCUACAUCAGUAUAAGCUUCCACAAGAAGAUGAUCAUUCAUCUUAAAAAAGGACCCUUACUCGGGGUGGCCUUUAGAUAGCUUAGAAUUCUUUUAACUACUUCCAAAUGAUACUCAAAUGGAGAGUGCAUAAACUGAUUGACAACAUUAACAACACAGACUAUGUCUAGCCAAUUAGAUGAUAAAUAAAUAAAGCCUUCCAACAAGUCUUUGAUACCUUAACGUAUUACAACUUGAUUGGCUAUCAGUGUGUAGAUCCAAUAGUUCCAAUGGGACGGCCUAGUGUAUUGUUAUUUUUUCAUGUUGUUUAGUUUUUCUUUUGGAGGGAGGAUUCCUCAUCCUCCUUUUGUACUUCUUUUUCUAUCAAUAUAUUCUUGCGUGGUUUCCUAUCAAAAGAAAAAAAAAAAAAAAACAAGUCUUUGAUACCUAAUCUUGUCAAUUGGAUCUCCCUUAACCUUUGUUUCUAGCUUGUGGUUAGGAACUAUAGGUGUAACAAGAAGUUUGCAUUUUGUCAUCUAGUUUCAUCCAAGAUAUCGAGUACAUACUUCUUUGGAAAAUAGCUAUACCAUGCUUGGUUCUUGAUACUUCCAAGCUUGUUUCCUAGAGAUCUAACUACUAUUUUUACUUAUUAGUGACCUAAACAAGGAACUUAUGAAGAAAACAAUUUUGACAAACCUAUCAUAUGAUUUGUGGCUCUAAUGUUAAUGAUUCAAGGGUUCAAUUUUGUUUUGAUGGUAUGCACAACAAUGAGAAAGUUACCUAUUUAUAGGCUAUAAUUGUAGGAGGAGAAUUAGAAAGGGAUUUGGUGUUGAAUCAUAAACCUAUAAAGGUAUUCAAGUUGUUCCUUGGUGAAAAUUGGUGGUUCAAGGUUCCUGAUUGCCCCACAUUCUAAACUUUUGAAUGGUUAGUAGCAACUUGAAGGCCUCGACUAUUACUAUUGGCAUGUUUAUUUCUUCUACCCCAACCUUUGAGGUUUUCCAUGGAGUUUUCAGCACAUAUCUUUUGUACACAUGAUUUAUGGCAAUGAUCGCACCAAAGUUUGUGUCUAUCAUCAUUCCAUAUUACAACAUUGCAUUGCUUACUAGGAAGGUCAUUUUUAGGUUGGACAACAACUAAGGCUGAAUUUCUAGUGUUAAGAGUUUCCCAUCAUAACUGACAGUAUGCUCUCAUCUCUUUUAAUGGAAAUGUAGACUUCUCUUAGUGAAGGGAGAGAGAUUACCCAAAGAAGUUGUCCUUUGGUCUAGUUGAGUUGAGCAUUCAAAUCUAUGAGAAUAUUAAAGAUUUUGUCUUUAUCAAGAAUUUGUUUAUACCUCACACUAUCUUCUAUGCAUUUCUAAUCUUGAUCUUAAUAGAGAUCUCUCCUUCCAAAGUUGAGUCAUGGCAUUGGAGUAGGUAGUCAUGGUUGGGUUCCCUUGUUUAGUAUCGUGCAUUAUGCACUUUAGAUCAUACAAAUGAGCAUCAUUUUCCAUGUUGGUGUGCAGAUUGAGCCACUAUCCAACUUUUCCUUAAUAAAAUGUCUGUCAACUUCCAAAUGCUUGGCUCUGUCAUGUUGUACCAGAUUAUGUGCAAUGUUGAUGGUUGACUUAUUGUCAUAAUAAAGUUUCAUAGGUGUCUCCUAUUUAAUCUUCAAGUCCUCCAAGAUAAUCUUGAGCUAAAACAACUUAUUGAUUCCUUGGGCCAUUACAUGAAACUCAGCUUUUGCAUUAGAUCUUGCAACAACGUUCUAUUUCUUACUCCUCCAAGUUCCCUCUAAGAAAAGUGCAAUAUCUUGUGGUAGACAUUCGAUCAAUUAUUGAUCAUGCAUAAUCUGCAUCAGUAUAGGCCUCCAACGAUAGUUCAAUGAUUUUCUUAAAAAAAAUUUCUUUCUUUGGAGUUGCUUUUAGGUAAUAUAGGAUUUUGUAUACAGCUUGUAGAUGAACUUCCUUCGGGUUAUGCAUAAAUUGAUUUACUAGGCUAAAUACAUAGGCUAUGUUUGAUUGUGUAUGUGAGAGGUAGAUUAGCCUGCCAACCAAUCUUUGGUAUAUACCUUUGUCCACGGUUGCAUCCUCACUUGAUUUUCCAAGCUUGUGAUUCGGAUCAAUAGGUGUGUUAGCCGGUUUACAUCUUAUUUUUCUUGUUUCUUGCACCGAGUCAAGAACAUACUUUUGUUGGGAGACAACAAUCCCUCUUUUUGAGUGAAUCACUUCAAUUCCCAAGAAAUAUUUUAGUUAAGAACAUACUUCUGUUGGGAGACAACAAUAUCCCUUUAUAGGGGGAGAAUGAAGGAAACUACCAAGGGUGGAAGAAGUUGGUUUAUUGUGGAGUCUAAGUUGUUCGAGCUUUUGGUUGAGGAUGUGGGAAGGAAGCUGAAAGGGUGUAUUUGGGAGAGAAGCAGAGGUGCCUCCUCUUGGAUUAGAUUUGGGGAGGUUUGUUUACAUUGCCUAUUGGACGGAGUUGAAACUUGUUGCAGAGAAAGCGAUGAUAGAAGAUGGGUUCUUGGUUGAGAGGAGAGGGGUAGGAAUUAUAGGUUGGAACGCUGUUCAAAUGAGGUAGGAAGGUUCAUCCUCAACUUUGUCUAUGAUCUCGAGACAAAAAAAACUCAGCAUCAUCUUUCCAAAAGGGAAGGGGUUGUCUGGUGGAUGGAAUACUUUGGCUGAGAAGUUGAGAGGCCUUCGAGUGGUCCCUGUUGGAGGCUUAAAGGAAACCAGAGAUCUAGAGGUUCCAUUGAGGAAAAAUGGGGGUUUGGAGGUUUCUUCAAGGAAGAAGGGGAUGGAGACAAAGACCUAUGUAGAUGUUGUAAAGUUAAAAUCGGGAAAAAUAGGUGAUUCCUAGUUAGAGUUGGGGAAAAAUGAAAUGCGAAGAAGGUUAGAACAAAUGAAACGGUGUCUGGUGGGCUAAUGGGGUAAUUAUGCAGUUCCUUUACGUGAUCUAGAUUUUAUAAGGAAAUGGACGCAUCAGCACUGGCUUUUAGAAGGGAAAUUAAGCAUAAUUGUGCUAGGCAGAGGACUCUUGCUGUUUGCAUUUGAGUUGCCAAGUGAGGCUGAGUGAGUCCUAGCUAGAGACAAAAGGAGUAUUAAGGAGAACUUCCUUAUUUUGGAUAGAUGGGACCCAGAGGUGGGGUGCCUUCGCAAGGAUUCCUACACUAAAGAGGCGUGGGUGAGGGUGGUGGGUCUCCCACUUCACCUGUGGAGUCGGGAGGUCUUUAAAAAAAUCGGUGAUGGGUGUGCAGGCUUUAUUACAGUGGAUGAAGACAUUGUUUUUCUUACUGAGCUGCAAUGGGCUAGGAUCUUGGUGAAGUUGGUAGGAAGGAUUUACCUAGCACUGCUCAAAUUUUGCUGGGGUCGGGGUGUUAUUCCAUUCAAAUAUGGUGGGAAACCCCACCUUGGUUUGCGCAGGUGGUGCCGAUGGGACGAAAAUAUGGGGUAGGCGAAUCAAUGGUAGGAGAAGAAGUGGGAGGGAAGUGCACGCCUUGCUCGCUAUGGGAGUCAAAGGAAAAAGGUGGAGCAGUUGAAGCUGCAACUCAGGGUACAUGAUGUGUUAUCCUCUGGAAGCACUUCUGAUGCUUUUCUUGUUGUGGUUUCUGACGAAGAGACUAAAGAAGGGGUUAAGGUAGGUAACCCACCAUGCAGAGACCAAGAGAGAGGGGUCGAUAUGUCAAUUUCAAAUAGACUAGGUGGGCACUAUUUAGGUCGGGUGGUUUCAAUAGUGGGUCCCUUAGUUUGGGUCUUGGGGAGGCCCAAGGGCAAGAAAAUGAGCCUCAGGUGUUUAUGGGCCGGGAAGCUGAAGUCUUAGGCCAUUGGUUUAAACGCCUUAAAAGGGUGUUCAAUGAGCUGUGAGGAGGUAGACGAUUUGGGCCUUGGGCCUGAAGUUGAUGGCGUAGCGGGAUGAGGGUUUUCAAAAGGGCCACCGUCUUCAGUUCCAAAAUCUAGGGCAUAAGAGGGGUCUUCACUUGAAAAUGUUAGAGAGUAAAUAGGUAACGAAGAUCCUUCCGAAGGAAUGGCGAGGGUUGUUUUGUCGCUAGAGGCCCUUGAGGUGGUGAAAAGUGCAACGAUUACCGACAAAACUCUGUUUGCAGAGGCCUCUAGGUACGUCGAUUCUCCUUCGUUCUUCAUGGGGGGUCGACCUCUCUCUUCUUCUAUUCCUUCUUCUAGGUUUUGUCGGGCUGUGGCGAAAAGUGGGUCUUUCGGCGGGUUAGCCUCCGUGGAUGGUGGAGAGGAGUAGAAUCCGUUGAGUAUUAUUUUGAAUGAUGGUAGAUCAUGGGAGAUGGCCUUUAAGGGGGAGAAAUCUAUGGCUGAGGUAGGAGUGGGGGGUGAGGAUGAGAAGUCACUUCAGGAAUUGAAUGAGAAUGGUUGUCAAUGGGAUGACAGUUGUUUGGCAAGGUUCAACAAGUUUUUGGGCUUUUCAAUGGAAGGUUUUAAAGGCGAAAAUUUGAAUUUGCUUCUAAGGACCAAGAGAAAAAGAGAGUAGAGUAACAAGAAGGGUACCAUAGGGACUACCAAGUUUGAUCGAGAACUGAAAAAAUUACAUUGGUCCAUAGAACAAUUUGGUUGGAGGAGGUGGGGCCAAAGUCUCGACCCUUAGAUGAAGAUAAAAAUUUUAUCUUAGAAUGUUAGAGGGGCUAAUGAUAGAAAUUAAAGGAAGAUAAUCAAGGUCAUAAUCAAGUCUCAAAGAGUGAAUUUGGUGUGUUUUGCAGGAGACUAAAAUCCAAGAUAUGUUCCUUGGGUUUGUUAAUGUUACCAUAUACAAAUUAGGAAUCAAAUUGGUUGUACAUCUAUGAAAAGAUUAACAGUUUUGUGUCACGGACUUAGUCGUUUCCUAAGCUCGUGCGGCACUUAGACAAGUCAAGACCCUUGAUCUUGCUAAGUCAGCCUUACUCCCAAUGCUUAACUUACUAGGCUAAGACGCUUACGACUCGGAAGCUUGAGUAGGCGUACUAGGCAACUCUUUAAAGAAUGGAAGCUUUAUUGCUUUCAAAUGAAGCUUUACAAUGCUUGCAAGCUGCCAAAUGAAGCCCUCACCUAUUUAUAGGCACCAAUGGAACUCUCUAGAACCUUGGAGGGUUCCUUACAAUUCAAGAAUAUUCUAGAAUGUCCUACAUCCUUCUAUGUACAAGAGACCUCUAGAAUUCUCUAGAAAGCCCUGGACUCCUCUAGGCAUGUGUGGAUUUCUCUAGGCAUUUCUAGAAUCUUCCACACUCUUCCCACCAAUAGCUAAGUGUAAGAGUUUCCAGAAGUUUCCUGGGCUCUAUAUAAACCCAUGGGGAGGCUCAUUUGAAGCAUCUUGUGACAUUUGGCUUACCAUGUAUUUGUUAAUGUUACCAUAUACAAUUUAGGAAUUUAGACUUCGUGUAUAGGAUAUAUAUUUGUAUAUAGAUGGAUGCAGGAGAUAAUAAAUUGAUUAGAGUUCUCAGAGUUCUCGGUUUCUAUGGAGUUUUUUUGAGUAUUUUGACAUGGUAUCAGAGCAAGGUUUCGACACGUUCUGAGUGGAGUUCGUGAUCUUCUACCAAUCAAACGCUUGGCAUCGAAAACAAUGUUGAUCGGGUUCAUCGCGUCCUGGUUCUUGGCCGUUUCUAUUCCAAUUUUCUGGUGGGCUAUUUCCUUUGUUUCUCGGUUGCAUCAUGUCAUCAGAUAAGUUGGAAUCGUUUCCUACUAGAUUUACUGGCAAAAAUUAUUGUGCUUGGGAGUAUCAAUUUAAAUUAUUUGUCAAAGGAAAAGAAUUAUGGGGUCAUAUUGAUGGGAGUAAUCCUGCACCUCGUGAUGUCGAGGCUUUGUCUAAGUGGGAAAUUAAGGAUGCUUGGGUUAUGACCUGGAUUCUUAGUUCGGUUGAACCUCACCUUGUUCUCAAUCUGAGGCCUUAUAAAACUGCUGCUGCUAUGUGGAAUUAUCUCCACACGGUUUACAAUCAAGACAACUCUGCUAGGCGUUUUCAAUUGGAGUAUGAGAUGACUAAUUUCAUACAAGGAAGUCUCUCAAUUGAGGAAUAUUUUUCUGGUUUUCAAACUCUUUGGACUGAUUAUUCCGACAUUGUUUAUGCUAAUGUUCCCGCUGCAGCUCUCUGGCUGUCCAAGCAGUGCAUGCAACCAACAAGCGAGAUCAAUUCUUGAUGAAGCUACAACCCGACUUUGAAAUUGAACGGUCUAAUAUGAUGAAUCGUCAUCCUGUACCAUCACUGGAUGCCUGCUUGAGUGAACUUUUGCGUGAGGAGCAGCGUAUCGUAACUCAAGCUACCAUGGAACAUCGGGCUAAUGUUAGUGCACCUGUUUCUAUAGCUUAUGCAGCACAGGGGUGGAAUAAGGGUCGAGAUAUGCGUGUUGUCCAGUGCUUUAGUUGUAAAGAUUUUGGUCACAUUGCUUAGGAUUGUCCCAAGAAGUUCUGUAACUACUGCAAGAAACAAGGUCAUAUAAUCUCUGCUUGUCCCAUUCAACCUAAAAGGAAGCAGGGUAUUGCUUAUCAUGUCUCCACUGGUGCCUCUAGUUCUACUGCACUAUCUGCUGCCUCUUCGGUUGUUCCUAUUCUUGCUCCUACAACCUUAGCAAACCCGAACACACUUAUACCUGAAAUGGUACAACAAAUGAUCAUUUCUGUUUUUUCUGCUUUUAGGCUCUCAGGUAAUCAUACGAUUUCUUCUAAGCCAUGGUAUUUUGACUCUAGAGCUUCUAACCAUACGACGAAUACUUUUCUUUCUCUUUCCAAUGUCAGAAAUUAUGAUGGAAAUCUGAAAAUGAACACUACUGAUGGCAGUUCUCUGCCUAUCAGUGCUGUUAGUGAUCUUUCCUCUUCCUUAACUGAUGUUUUUGUGUCUCCUGACCUCUCCACAAAUCUUCUUUCUAUUGGUCAAUUGGUUGAUAAUAAUUGUAAUGUCAAUUUCUCUCAUUCUGGUUGUGUUGUGAAGGAUCAAGUGUCCGGGAUGAUGAUCGCGAAGGGCCCUAAAGUGGGACGACUCUUUCCUCUUCAUGUUUCUCUUUCCACUAUUAUUCCUAGUUUUCCUUUAAUUUCCUUUGCAUGUAAUGUUGUUGGUUCUGGACAUAAGAUGUGGCAUAAACGUCUUGGCCACCCAAACUCUGAUGUACUUCGUACUUUGUUUAAUUCUGGAUUAUUGGGAAUUAAAACAUGUUCUUCUCUUGAUCUUUCUUUCGAUGGUACAUCAUGCAAACUUGGCAAAAGUAAUGUUCUACCUUUUCCUUAUUCUGCAUCUCGUGCCUCACAAUGUUUUGAUAUUAUACAUAGUGAUGUUUGGGGGAUUGCACCUAUUGUUUCUCAUGCACAUUACAAGUACUUUUUUACUUUCAUUGAUGACUUUAGUCGUUUUACUUGGGUUUACUUCCUCCAGGCUAAGGCUGAAGUUUUUUUAGUCUUUAAGCACUUUCUUGCACUUAUCGAGACUCAAUUCUCUGCCAGCAUCAAGGUCUUGCACUCUGAUUCUCACAGAGAAUACAUGUCUAAUGAGUUUUAGGACUUUCUUCAAAGCAAAGGGAUCAUCUCUCAGCGUUCUUGUCCUUCGACACCACAACAAAACGGUGUUGCUGAGAGGAAAAAUCGCCACCUUCUUGAUAUUGUAAGAACUCUUUUACUUGACUCAUCGGUUCCUCCUCGUUUUUGGUGUGAAGCACUUUCUACUGCAGUUCAUUUGAUCAAUCGCUUACCCUCUCCUAUGUUAAAUCAUGUUUCUCCUUUCUCUAAGUUGUUUGUUCAUUCUCCUUUAUAUUCUAAUCUUCGUAUAUUUGGUUGUGUUUGUUUUGUGCAUCUACCUACUCAUGAACGACAUAAACUUACUGUUCAGUCUGUUAAGUGUGCUUUUCUUGGUUAUGCUAUCCCUCACAAGGUUUAUGUUUGUUAUGAUCCUCAUGCUCGUCGUAUACAAGUUUCUCGGAAUGUAAUUUUCUUUGAAAAUCAAUAUUUCUUUCCAUCUCAUGUUUAGCUACCAUCUGCAUCUGUAUCUCUUCUGCCUAGUUUUUCUAAAUCCCCAACAAUUGUGGAAAGGUUCAAACCUGGUUUUGUGUAUGAAAGACGUAGUCGACAUGAUUCAAAUUCCACUUCCUCUAUGCUCCCUUCCGAUCUUGACCCGACGCCUGAUCCUGCUCCUGCUUCCACCACUCUUCGUCGGUUUACUCAUCUUUCUCGACCCCCUGAUUGGUAUGGAUUCUUCUCUCCUGUCUCUCUUGUUGCUACUUUAUCCACUAUUUCUAUUCCCUCUUGCUACAAACAGGCCAUGGAACACGAGUGUUGGCAACAUGCAAUGCAAGCAGAACUUCAAGCACUUGAGGAGAAUCAUACUUGGGAUAUUGUUCCUUGUCCUCCUACAGUCAAACCUAUUGGGAGUAAAUGGGUUUUCUCUGUAAAACUUCAUUCUGAUGGCUCUUUGGACUGGUACAAAGCUCGCCUCGUAGCUUUGGGUAACAAGCAGGAAUAUGGGGUUGAUUAUGAGGAGACAUUUGCUCUUGUUGCCAAAAUGACCACGGUUUGAACCAUCUUAGGUAUUGCUGCUUCACAGUCAUGGAAACUACAUUAGAUGGAUGUGAAGAAUGUUUUUCUUCAUGGUGAUCUCCAGGAAGAGAUUUACAUGAAGCUUCCCUCUAGUAUGACUAAUUCUUCUCCUCAUGAUGUUUGUAAGCUAAAACGUUCUUUGUAUGGGCUCAAGCAGGCGCCCUGAGCUUGUUUUGAGAAGUUUCGCAGUACAAUUCUUUCCUUCAGUUUUACCCAAAGUCAGUAUGAUUCUUCCCUCUUCUUCCACACGUUUGCGUCGGGUAUAGUCUUUCUCUUGGUUUAUGUGGAUGAUAUUAUCAUUACUGGCACUGACUGUGGUUUGAUUACUAAGCUUCAGCAGCUGUUACAUACAACUUUCCAUAUGAAAGAUCUUGGACAACUCACAUAAACUUCUUAGGAUUGGAAGUUCAUCAUCGAGCUAGUGGUAUUUUCGUGAACCAUAAGUAUAUUCAAGAUCUUAUCACUUUGGCUGGUUUGGAGGACACUUCUUCUGUUGAUACUCCUAUGGAGGUAAAUGUCAAAUACAGGAAAGAUGAAGGGGACUUUCUGGAUGAUCCUACUCUCUAUCGGCGCCUGGUUGGGAGUCUUAUCUACUUGACCACUACUCGACCUGAUAUCUCCUAUGCUAUUCAUCAGGUCAGUCAGUUUAUGACUUCUCCUCGGCAUCUCCAUCUUGUUGCAGUUCGACGCAUCAUCCGCUAUCUUCAAGGUUCACCUACUUGUGGGUUGUUCUUUCCUACCGGCUCUUUUCAACUUGUUGCCUAUGGUAAUGCUGAUUGGGCUGGGUGUCCAGAUACACGUCGAUCUACUACGGGUUGGUGUAUGUUUUUAGGUGAUGCCUUAAUUUCUUGGAGAUGUAAGAAACAAGAUUGUGUUUCUAAAUUCUCUACUGAGGCCGAGUAUCGUGCCAUGUCUACUGUUUGUUCUAAAAUUGUAUGGCUACGCGAUCUUCUUGAGGAGCUUAGGUUUCCUUAGGCUACUUCUACAUCUCAUGUUGAUAACACUAGUGCUAUUCAGAUUGCCACCAAUCCUAUUUUUCAUGAAUGUACCAAGCACAUUGAGGUUGAUUGUCAUUUUAUUCGAGACACCUUGGAAAGUCGGGUGAUAUCUCUUCCUCACAUCUCUUCUGAUCUCCAAGUGGCUGAUAUCUUCACCAAAGCUUUGACUCGACAACGACAUCAAUUUCUUGUUGGCAAAUUGUUGUUGGUUAACUUACCAACAUCAAUUUGAGGGGGGAUGUUAAUGUUACCAUAUACAAAUUAGGAAUCAAAUUGGUUGUACAUAUAGGAAAUGUUAAUGUUACCAUAUACAAAUUAUGAAUCAAAUUGGUUGUACAUAUAGGAAAUGUUAAUGUUACCAUAUACAAAUUAGGAAUCAAAUUGGCUGUACAUAUAGGAAAAGAUUGACAGCUUUGGCUUACCAUGUAUUUGUUAAUGUUACCAUAUACAAUUUAGGAAUUUAGACUCCGUGUAUAGGAUAUAUAUUUGUAUAUAGAUGGAUGUAGGAGAUAAUAAACUGAUUAGAGUUAUCAGAGUUCUCGGUUUCUGUGGAGUUUUUUUUAGUAUUUUGACAGGGUUGGUGCACAGUCUAGGAGUGUGGGAGAUUUUUAGGUUGGGGGAUAGUGAACGAAAGGGGAGCAGCUGGAAGGGUGGUAAUCUUCUGGGAUAACAAAGUGUUGGAAUUAGUAGGUAUGAAGGUGGGCCUUUUCUCAAUCUUGUGUCACUUUAAAAAUUGCGAGGACAGUUUCUUGUGGACCUUUACAGGGUUUACGGGCCUACCUUGAAAAGAUAUAGAGAAAUUUUUUGGGAGGAGUUAGGGGGCAUUCGAGGGUUGUGGGCUGACCUGUGGUGUAUUGGAGGGGAUUUUAAUGUGAUCAAAUUUCCUAGUGAGCAUACUAGGGAAGGAAGAAUGUCUGCAUCCAUGAGAAGAUUUUCGGAGGUGAUUGAUAAGUUAGCUUUGAGAGACCUUCCCUUGUAGGGGAGAGCCUUUUACUUGGAGUGGAGGGUUGAAUGGUCAAUCCUUGUCAAGAUUGGAUCGGUUUUUGGUCUCGGAGGAUUGGGAGACUCAUUUUAGCAGGGUGAUGUAGUGUACUCUCCCAAGGUCGGUGUCUGACCAUUUUCCAAUUCUGUUAGAUGGGGGUGGGGUGAGGAGGGGACCAAUUCCUUUUCGUUUUGAAAAUAUGUGGAUGAAGGAGAAGAGGUUUAAGGAAAUGCUGAAAGGUUGGUGGCAAGGUUUCAAUUUCAGUGGGUCCAAUAGUUUUAUCUUGAUAGAAAAAUUAAAGGCUUUAAAAACCAAUUUGAAGAUUUGGAACAAGGAUGUUUUUGGGAAAGUGGGAGUGAACAAGGGGCUAGCUCUAGACAAAGUGUUUUUUUGGGACGAUCAGGAGCGACUAAGAGUUUUAUCUGCACUGGAGUUAAGAGGCUAGAAAGGAAGCUAGGGAGUAGUUCAAGAAGUGGGCGCUUAUGGAAGAAAUUUCCCGGAGACAAAAAUCAAGAGAAGUGUGGUUGAAGGAAGGCGAUAAGAACACAUUGGAUGGCUAAUCCUAACAAAAAGAGGAAUUGUUUGACAAAGAUCAAAAUUAAUGGUCUCUGGUUGACAAAAGAGCAAGAGAUUCAAAGGGAUGUGGUUACGGCAUACUAGAAUCUACUGUC